CUAUACGAUUAGGGUUCGGCGGGAGGUUCCCUUGCAAUACCCUAAUUUCAAGAUUGCUGUAUUUAAAUGGCAAUGCCAAUGUUCCUUCUCAGCCGUCUCACAUCCACUGGCUCAACAGUUCUGUACCUAAAUAGCUGAAACAAGGUUUGCAGUUUAGGGGACCUUAAUCCAUUAUUUCUUGCUUGAAUCCGAGGGGUGUCGACUGUUCCUGAUACUUAUUGUGGGUCAUACUGUACUUUUGUAAAGGAAAGUUUACGCCCAAUUCUUCUUAGUUGAAAACACUGUUAUUGUAUCGAGAGUGAUCACCACAAAUUUGAUAUCUCAUGACUGUAAAUAAAUACAAGCCUUUCAAACGUUCAAUGGCUUUUUUAAGUUGUUCUGGCUGCUUAUGUUUAUGUGAUAUUUGUCUUGAUAGUAGUUUGUAAAGAAUUUUCCACGAGUACCGUGGCUCUAUGUUAUUGAAUGUUGAGAGCUUAGUAUAACCGUGCACUAAUCACAGAUGGCAUUCGCUUUGCAGCUCAAACAAUAGCAUAUUUCUGCUGCCUGUAGUGACAUUAUACUUUCUAAUGUAUAGUAAUGCAAUCUGUGGUACAAGAUCUCACUGCAGAGUAGUUUAUGGGAGGACAUUUGACACAUGCGCUUCCAGUAUUUUAUAUUGUGUAAUGGUUAAUUUUCUAUUAAUGGGAACUGGUAGAACUUUGCUUCAUUGGAUUCUUUUAUAUACCUAAUCAAGAGGGAAAGCUAAUGCCCAAGUUUAGGAAGGGAUCACACAGGAUUUAAGUUGAAAAAUUUAAGUACAAGGUGUACUUUUCUUUUCGGUGGCUCGAUCAUCAGAACUCCAAAGUGCUUUGCUCAAAACACCUUUUGGGAAUCAAAUAGGACAAAGUGAUGUUUUCGCAGUUUGUUUGUGAUGAGCCUCAAAGUAAGAAUUAUGCUUUGUAGGAGAUGUAGAUAAGAACUCUAAAGUUUGAAUUUUCUUAAGAUACAUGUGAAUUGACUACAAGGCUUUGGUUUGUGGGGACGAUUUUUCUUUAAGUAAAGAUUAAGAGCUGCAGGUGAAUGUUGGCCGAAAAAACUUAUGAAAUGAAAUUUCUAAUGUAAUGAGUUGAAGUUAUUUAUUCUCAAUUUCCUUCUGAAAGGAUGACUUGUCAUUACUUGUUAGGUUGAUUGUCCAUUGAAAAGGCCACAUGCUUGAUAGUUCAAGGAGAUGAAAAUAUGGUUGUAAUUGCUUGUUGCAUAAUAGAGACAUCAAAUUGGGAAAGUGUUCACUCAUGGAGGAUGUCUAAGCUUUCAUUAGGGGAACAUGGCAUAUAUCCUUGUAUGGAGGAGAGCUAUUGCAUUAUUGGUCUCGGUCUCUAAGUUCAAACUUUGUUCUUUCUUAAUGUGUAUUAUUAGUUAUACAUGGUACUAGAAUCUGUUCAUUCUGUCUGUAAGAUUGUUAGUAGCUUUUAGGCUUGACCCCAAGCUAAAUGUGGGGGAUGGAGCUUUAAAACAUUCCCUAUACUCUUGUUUUGUUUUGUUUCUUUUGAGCAAAUUUCGUAUACUUUCGUUGACAUUUUCUCACAGCUCAUUGAUAUUUAUACAAUAUAAUGUUAACAGGGAACCUUUCAAAGUGAUGUCAAAUGUAUGAAGCUCAUUUCUGCAAUGAUUCCAUGGCCCUUUGUACAACCGUAUGUUGGGUUCUCCAAACUUCAUAAUUUCUUGAAGUUUACUAUUCCCCUAGCCUCAAGCACCCUAAACUGUCUUGGUUGGGCCCUUGUUUAAAGGCAAAAAUAGCUCGGUUUAUUUAACUACACACCUCUUGAAACAAAAAGUUGGCUCUCAA